UACGUAGGGUGCGAGCGUUGUUCGGAAUCACUGGGCGUAAAGCGCACGUAGGCGGAUGUGUCAGUCAGGGGUGAAAUCCCGGAGCUCAACUUCGGAACUGCCUUUGAUACAGCACGUCUUGAGUCCGAUAGAGGUGGGUGGAAUUCCUAGUGUAGAGGUGAAAUUCGUAGAUAUUAGGAAGAACACCGGUGGCGAAGGCGGUUCUCUGGGAAUGUCCUGACGCUGAGGAGCGAAAGUGUGGGGAGCGAACAGG
rnacentral:rRNA from 1 species